rnacentral:rRNA from 1 species
GAGCGAGAUCUUUUGUUGCUUGCAAAGAAAGUUGAGAGCGGCGAACGGGUGAGUAACACGUUGGUAUCUGCCCCCAAGUCAGGGAUAGCCAUUGGAAACGAUGAUUAAUACCGGAUAGUCCCUACGGGGUAAAGAUUUAUCGGUCUAGGAGGUGCCUGCGUUCUAUCAGCUUGUUGGUGAGGUAAUAGCUCACCAAGGCUAUGACGGAUAGCUGGUCUGAGAGGAUGAUCAGCCACAAUGGAACUGAGACACGGUCCAUACUCCUACGGGAGGCAGCAGUGGGGAAUCUUCCACAAUGGACGAAAGUCUGAUGGAGCGACACCGCGUGAAGGAUGAAGGGUUUACUCUCGUAAACUUCUUUUCUGUGGGAAGAUAAUGACGGUACCACAGGAAUAAGGGACGGCUAAUUACGUGCCAGCAGCCGCGGUAAUACGUAAGUCCCAAGCGUUAUCCGGAAUCACUGGGUGUAAAGUGUUCGUAGGCGGAUGUUUAAGUUAAAUAUGAAAGACCAGAGCUCAACUCUGUGUUUGUAUUUAAAACUGGACGUCUAGAAUUAGAGAGAGGCAAGUAGAAUUACUGGAGUAGGGGUGCAAUCCGUAGAUACCAGUAGGAAUACCAAAAGCGAAGGCAGCUUGCUGGCUCUAUAUUGACGCUGAGGAACGAAAGCGUGGGUAGCGAAAAGGAUUAGAUACCCUUGUAGUCCACGCCCUAAACGAUGAUGACUAGGUGUUGGGAUUUAUCUCAGUGCCGUAGCUAACGCGUUAAGUCAUCCACCUGAGUAGUACGGUCGCAAGACUAAAACUCAAAGGAAUAGACGGGGGCCCACACAAGCAGUGGAUCAUGUUGUUUAAUUCGACAAUAAACGGAGAAUCUCACCUGGGAUUGACAUCUAUCGAAUCUUUUAGAAAUAGAAGAGUGCCUUUAUUGGAGCGGUAAGACAGGUGCUGCAUGGUUGUCGUCAGCUCGUGCCUUGAGGUGUUCGGUUAAGUCCGUUAACGAGCGCAACCCAUGUCAUUAGUUAUUAUGUCUAAUGAGACUGCCUUGGUUAACAAGGAGGAAGGUGUGGAUGACGUCAAAUCAGCAUGGCUUUUACGUCUGGGGCUACACACAUGAUACAAUGGUCUAUACAAAGAGCAGCAAUAUGGUAACAUGGAGCUAAUCUUAAAAGUAGAUCUCAGUCCGGAUUGAGGUCUGAAACUCGACCUCAUGAAGUUGGAAUUGCUAGUAAUCGUGAAUCAGAUAUGUCACGGUGAAUAUGUUCCUGGGUCUUGUACUCACCGCCCGUCAUGGCAUGGAAGGCAAUAAUAUCGGAAGUCC